rnacentral:rRNA from 1 species
AAUUUUGGACAAUGGGGGAAACCCUGAUCCAGCCAUCCCGCGUGUAUGAUGAAGGCCUUCGGGUUGUAAAGUACUUUUGGCAGAGAAGAAAAGGUACAUCCUAAUACGAGGUAGUGCUGACGGUACCUACAGAAUAAGCACCGGCUAACUACGUGCCAGCAGCCGCGGUAAUACGUAGGGUGCAAGCGUUAAUCGGAAUUACUGGGCGUAAAGCGUGUGUAGGUGGUUCGGUAAGUAAGAUGUGAAAUCCCAGGGCUCAACCUGGGAACUGCAUUUUUAACUGCCGAGCUAGAGUAUGGCAGAGGGUGGUAGAAUUCCACGUGUAGCAGUGAAAUGCGUAGAUAUGUGGAGGAAUACCGAUGGCGAAGGCAGCCCCCUGGGAUGAUACUGACGCUCAGACACGAAAGCGUGGGGAGCAAAC